CCUGCCCUCCCCCGCUCGGGCCGCCCUUGUCGCCUUGCGCCGGGGCAGGAAGGUAAAACCAUCGCGCCGCGCUCGCGCGGGAAAUCCGGAGGGACGGUAGCUGUGUCUGUGUAGCGUAGGAGGCCGGGGCAGUUAUCAUCACCCGGCUCUCUGUUUCGUCUAGACACAGACACUGCUCUGCCUCUUCCCUUGCUCUCCCAUUCCCCCCCUCCCCCGCGGGCGCGGGCGCGGGGGUCCGGGAUUAGGGUUUCGUGCUCGCCUCGACCAGCUUCUAGGGACACGCUCGCCCGGUCGGGGCUCUGCGCGUCGUCGUCCGCGAUCGAUCCGAGCGCGCCCCUACCGCUCCGCGCCUCGGUUCGGUUCCGCCGCGCCUCGCGAUCUCUGGCCCACUCGGCUCGAUCGUGCUCUUCGCGGACGCGAUCGAUUUGAAGGGUGAGGCAAUGAAGAGUGGGGAGAGUGGUAGGGAAUGGCAACUUCAGAUCCCGGAGGAAUCCCCUGUACAUACUGCUCUCUUCUUGGUCUUGGAGGAGAUAACCUGAGACUCCCUCAGGUUAAGCCCCAACGCAGCGAGCCCUCGCAAGAGGAGCUAUUCGUCUGCACGUGCCCAUGAACUACUCCUGCAACUAUUCUCCACACUAACACUGGUGAGCUCAUCCGGGUGGGUUCUCCAUCAAGUUGAGAUCUAGUGAUAGCUAACUACAUAAGUACGCUACUACCACCACCGUCCACCAUUAGUUUCUCAUUUCUGCAAAAGCUUGACAGCGUGCUCAAGACUGGAGAUGGGGUGUUGUGCCUUGCUACUUGACCCCUGUUAGACCAACUACUAGAAUGGAGAUUGGUGGACUAAAUGCUUAAAUUUGUAAAGUAAUGUAGUGUAAUCCUGAUCCUGAAUCAUCGGUUUCACUCGCGCUAUACAAUUCUGAUGUGGUUAUCUUAAGGGCUUGUUCUGUUG